UCCAAUUCCGGAUCUCAG
rnacentral:rRNA from 1 species